CACAGAAAGAGGAGGAGGAGGAGGAGGAGGAGGAGGAGGAGGAGGAGGAGGAAGAGGCCAGAAAUAGUAUAAGAUAUAAGGAGGGAAAGACUCGAGAACCGUCAGAUAGUUGCAGACCAUCACUAAGAGAAGCAACAGCACAACACGACCACCAGUACUUCGUCAGAUCAUCGACCUUCAGCUUCACACACACACACACACACACACACACACACACACACACACACACACACACAGCACGUGGACAAAAAAUAUUCCAGAACGAAGGAGAGAGAACAAGCAGAUAUAAAACAACAACAACAACAACAACAAACAAAAGUAAAGCAGCGGUUUCAACUUAAUUAAAGAGAAGGAAAGCAGUGUGGUGGUGGUGGUGGUGGUGGUGGUGGUGGUGGUUGAGAGGGGGCGGGGGUGAAGGUGUUACUAGUGGUAGUGAAGUAUUUUUAUCCUCUUGGCAACGUAUAACCUACACACACACACACACACACACACACACACACACACACACACACACACACACACAGAUAAACAGACUGAUAGAUAGACAUUUUAUCGACCGCAAAUUUGCCAAUAUCAUUUAAGAACAUAACACACACACACACACACACACACACACACACACACACACACACACACACACACACGUACA